rfam:Populus trichocarpa isolate Nisqually-1 chromosome 14, whole genome shotgun sequence.
UAAUUUUUCAGUGGUAUAUCCUUAUAUAGUUGUGUCAAGCUCAUACCUAACCGUUCAGAAUCACCCAUUAUCAUAAGCUCGAUAUUUAGCAAGUAUCGUGUUUUUCAAGAGCAACAAC